rnacentral:rRNA from 1 species
GGGGAAUAUUGCGCAAUGGACGAAAGUCUGACGCAGCGACGCCGCGUGUGGGAGGAAGCUCUUCGGGGUGUAAACCACUGUCAGAGGGGAAGAACGGCGUCUGGUCGAACAGGCCAGGCGAUUGACGGUACCCUCAAAGGAAGCGUCGGCUAACUACGUGCCAGCAGCCGCGGUAAAACGUAGGACGCAAGCGUUAUCCGGAAUUACUGGGCGUAAAGGGCGUGCAGGCGGUCUUUUAAGUUAGGCGUGAAAGCUCCCGGCUAAACCGGGAGAGGUCGUCUGAUACUGGGAGACUAGAGUAUGGUAGAGGCGUGUAGAAUUCCGCGUGUAGUGGUGAAAUGCGUAGAGAUGCGGAGGAAUACCAGUGGCGAAGGCGGCACGCUGGGCCAUAACUGACGCUAAGACGCGAAAGCAUGGGUAGCGA